UACGGAGGAUCCAAGCGUUAUCCGGAUUUAUUGGGUUUAAAGGGUGCGUAGGCGGUUUGAUAAGUUAGAGGUGAAAUACCGGGGCUCAACUCCGGAACUGCCUCUAAUACUGUUGAACUAGAGAGUAGUUGCGGUAGGCGGAAUGUAUGGUGUAGCGGUGAAAUGCUUAGAGAUCAUACAGAACACCGAUUGCGAAGGCAGCUUACCAAACUAUAUCUGACGUUGAGGCACGAAAGCGUGGGGAGCAAACAGGAUUAGAAACCCUGGUCCGGCGACUGACU
rnacentral:rRNA from 1 species